CAGUAACGGCGAGUGAAGCGGCAACAGCUCAAAUUUGAAAUCUGGUCCCCAGGGCCCGAGUUGUAAUUUGUAGAGGAUGCUUUUGGCGCGGCGCCUUCCGAGUUCCCUGGAACGGGACGCCAUAGAGGGUGAGAGCCCCGUCUGGUCGGAUGCCAAGCCUCUGUAAAGCUCCUUCGACGAGUCGAGUAGUUUGGGAAUGCUGCUCAAAAUGGGAGGUAUAUGUCUUCUAAAGCUAAAUAUUGGCCAGAGACCGAUAGCGCACAAGUAGAGUGAUCGAAAGAUGAAAAGCACUUUGAAAAGAGGGUUAAACAGUACGUGAAAUUGUUGAAAGGGAAGCGCCUAUGACCAGACUUGGGCCCGGUGAAUCAUCCAGCGUUCUCGCUGGUGCACUUUGCCGGGCACAGGCCAGCAUCAGUUUGGCGCGGGGGAGAAAGGCUUUGGGAACGUGGCUCCCCCGGGAGUGUUAUAGCCCAUUGCGCAAUACCUUGCGCCGGACUGAGGUACGCGCAUUGCAAGGAUGCUGGCGUAAUGGUCAUCAGCGACCCGUCUUGAAACACGGACCAAGGAGUCGUCUUCGUAUGCGAGUGUUCGGGUGUCAAACCCCUACGCGUAAUGAAAGUGAACGCAGGUGAGAGCUUCGGCGCAUCAUCGACCGAUCCUGAUGUUCUCGGAUGGAUUUGAGUAAGAGCAUACGGGGCCGGACCCGAAAGAAGGUGAACUAUGCCUGUAUAGGGUGAAGCCAGAGGAAACUCUGGUGGAGGCUCGCAGCGGUUCUGACGUGCGAAUCGAUCGUCAAAUAUGGGCAUG
rnacentral:rRNA from 1 species